GACUUACUUCGUAUUUUUUAUGUAAAAAAUUCUGCAAAGAAAUUACUUAAUACGACUGCUGGUUUUACGGACUCUUCCUUGGAAUCUAUUUCGCAGAUAAGAACACCCAUUAAGGAGUUUUAUAACCGUAAUCCUGUAAAUAUUAUUCACCUAAAGUUAGUACCUAGACAAGAUUCCGCAUAUUUCGUUUUUAUGUUUAACGAGUAUGAAGAUCACUUGGAAGCAGUCUGUAGAGAUCACAGAAAGGAAAUUCUUUUUUCCCUUAAGACUAAUCACUUUAUGAAAAGUUUGGAAAUCGAAGUGCUCACAGACGAAAAGGCUGUAGGAUUGCUUGGGAAAAACGUUGCUUUGCUGGGAGUAGGCUGUGGUAUUCUUAAGUAUAGAUUUGAUAGGCAAGAGAAACCAAUGAAAGGAAAGCAACUAUUAUUUUUCAGAGCUCUUCGCACGAGCUAUGAGGAAUUGAUCCAAAAGGAUGGCCAAGUUGCAAAACUACCUUAAGAGUGCACGUUACCUUUGAAAAAAGGAUUAAAGUUCC